GUCCGGACGAGGCGGAGAAGGAGGGCUGGGAGUACGCCUCGCUGUUCGGCUGGAGGUUCCACCUGAAGCCGAGGAAGACGGACAGCUUCAGGAGGCGCAGGUGGAGGUGCCGCAUGGAGCCGCUGGAGAAGACGGGACCGGCCGCCAUCUUUGCUCUGGAGUGUUCACUGAGCAGCAUAGAGGACAAGAACGAUGACAAGUCCGUCACGACCACGUUUGGAGUCAACAGACCAACUAUUUCCUGUUUCUUUGACCGCGGCACUCGAUACCACCUGCGCUGCUACCUGUACCAAGCCAGAGACCUGCUGGCCAUGGACAAAGACAGCUUCUCAGGUAC